rnacentral:tRNA from 1 species
GCUGGGCUAGCUCAGUCAGUAGAGCAUGAGACCCUUAAUCUCAGGGUCGUGGGUUCGAGCUCCACAUCGGGCG